UACGGAGGAUCCAAGGGUUAUCCGGAUUUAUUGGGUUUAAAGGGUGCGUAGGCGGCCAUUUAAGUCAGAGGUGAAAGACGGUAGCUCAACUAUCGCAGUGCCUUUGAUACUGAGUGGCUUGAAUGAACUAGAGGUAGGCGGAAUGAGACAAGUAGCGGUGAAAUGCAUAGAUAUGUCUCAGAACACCGAUUGCGAAGGCAGCUUACUAUGGUUUAAUUGACGCUGAGGCACGAAAGCGUGGGGAUCAAACAGG
rnacentral:rRNA from 1 species